CGCUAGCGACAGGCCUAACACAUGCAAGUCGAGGGGCAGCACAAGGAGCAAUCUGAGGUGGCGACCGGCGCACGGGUGAGUAACACGUAUGCAACCUGCCUGUAAGCGGGGAAUAACCCGUUGAAAGACGGACUAAUACCGCAUAAUACUAAAUUACUGCAUGGUAAUUUAUUUAAACAUUUAUGGCUUACAGAUGGGCAUGCGCAUGAUUAGCUAGUUGGAGAGGUAACGGCUCCCCAAGGCAACGAUCAUUAGGGGUUCUGAGAGGAAGGUCCCCCACACUGGUACUGAGACACGGACCAGACUCCUACGGGAGGCAGCAGUGAGGAAUAUUGGUCAAUGGACGAGAGUCUGAACCAGCCAAGUCGCGUGCAGGAAGAAUGUCCCUAUGGAUUGUAAACUGCUUUUGCAGGGGAAUAAAGUGCAUCACGUGUGAUGUUUUGUAUGUACUCUGCGAAUAAGGAUCGGCUAACUCCGUGCCAGCCGCCGC
rnacentral:rRNA from 1 species